GACGAACGCUGGCGGCGUGCUUAACACAUGCAAGUCGAACGCUGAAGCUCAGCUUUUGUUGGGUGGAUGAGUGGCGAGCGGGUGAGUAACACGUGAGUAACCUGCCCCCUUCUUUGGGAUAACGCCCGGAAACGGGUGCUAAUACUGGAUAUUCACUGGUCUUCGCAUGGGGGUUGGUGGAAAGGGUUUUUCUGGUGGGGGAUGGGCUCGCGGCCUAUCAGCUUGUUGGUGGGGUGAUGGCCUACCAAGGCUUUGACGGGUAGCCGGCCUGAGAGGGUGACCGGUCACAUUGGGACUGAGAUACGGCCCAGACUCCUACGGGAGGCAGCAGUGGGGAAUAUUGCACAAUGGGCGCAAGCCUGAUGCAGCGACGCCGCGUGAGGGAUGGAGGCCUUCGGGUUGUGAACCUCUUUCGCUCAUGGUCAAGCCGCAACAAUGGUUGUGGUGAGGGUAGUGGGGAAAGAAGCGCCGGCUAACUACGU
rnacentral:rRNA from 1 species